UCCAUCUUCCUAACAAGCAUGUCCUCACUCACCCCUUGCCCUCCUCCUGUCUUACGUGAUGUUAAGGGCCCUUUCUGAUUGUGCCUUUUGUUUUUGCAGCUUGUGGCAUCUUAGUUCCCUGACCAGGGAUCGAACCCAGUCCCCCUACAGUGGAAGCAUGGAGUCCUAAUCACUGGACCACCAGGGAAUUCCCUGACUGUGCCUAUUAAUCCCAGUAUUUCCCCUGUAUCUAACUGCUACCUUCCCCCUCAGACAUAAACAUCGUGCCUGCUAUGCAGAAAGUGAGAAGCUGCUCUUCAUACUUGGCCUGCAGUUGGUGGAAGCAUCUGGUACCCAUCCCUUUAUCUUAGCCAAGAUCUCAGAAAGGUGAUAUAACUGAGAUCCACUGAGAUGUGGAUACCUUGGACAGACCCCGCUAUCCCUAAGAGAAGAUGCAAUAAACACAUUUUCUAAAUACCAG